AAGUCGUAACAAGGUUUCCGUAGGUGAACCUGCGGAAGGAUCAUUAACACGUAUCCACGUAUAACCAACGAGAACUGUUUUCACCCUCCCUUCACUGCGAAUGAGUUGGAAUUCGUAAUGGUAAUGAUUGGGAUUUCGCAAGGAGUCAGCCAUUACUUAUCACUUAGGUUCGCCCUAGACAACUGUAUUGUAAUGUGAAGGCAAAUCUCACUUUCUGUCGCCUCCAUCAUGGUCAUGGAAAGUGGGAAACUUAUUAACAAUUUUAACCCCUUUUUGCUAGUUGACUUUUAUAUGUGUUAUUUACGUAAGUAAGUACACACGUUUAUUAUUUAAACGUUAAAAAUACAACUCUUAGCAAUGGAUAUCUUGGUUCUC
rnacentral:misc_RNA from 1 species